rnacentral:rRNA from 1 species
ACCUCAAAUCAGGUAGGACUACCCGCUGAACUUAAGCAUAUCAAUAAGCGGAGGAAAAGAAACUAACAAGGAUUCCCCUAGUAACUGCGAGUGAAGAGGGAAGAGCUCAAAUUUUGAAUCUGGCGGUCUUCGGCCGUCCGAGUUGUAAUCUAGAGAAGCGUUAUCCGCGCUGGACCGUGUACAAGUCUCCUGGAAGGGAGCGUCGUAGAGGGUGAGAAUCCCGUCUUUGACACGGACUACCAGUGCUAUGUGAUGCGCUCUCGACGAGUCGAGUUGUUUGGGAAUGCAGCUCAAAAUGGGUGGUAAAUUCCAUCUAAAGCUAAAUACAGGCGAGAGACCGAUAGCGAACAAGUACCGUGAGGGAAAGAUGAAAAGAACUUUGGAAAGAGAGUUAAACAGUACGUGAAAUUGCUGAAAGGGAAACGCUUGAUGUCAGUCGCGUCGGCCGGGGAUCAACCUUGCUUCUCCGCUGGGUGUACUUCCCGGUCGAUGGGUCAGCAUCAGCUUCGGUCGCCGUACAAGGGCGAGGGGAACGUGGCACUCUUCGGAGUGUGUUAUAGCCUUUCGUCGUAUGCGGCGGUCGGGACUGAGGAACUCAGCACGGCUUCCGUUUGUGCUUAGGAUGCUGGCAUAAUGGCCUUAAGCGACCCG